rnacentral:rRNA from 1 species
GAUCAUGGCUCAGGACGAACGCUGGCGGCGUGCCUAACACAUGCAAGUCGAACGGAAGUUAGAGCUUCGGUUUUAACUUUAGUGGCGAACGGGUGAGUAACGCGUGAGGAACCUGCCUUUCAGUGGGGGACAACAGUUGGAAACGACUGCUAAUACCGCAUGACACUUUUGGGAGACAUCUCCUGGAAGUCAAAGCUUUAUGUGCUGAAAGAUGGCCUCGCGUCUGAUUAGCUGGUUGGUGAGGUAACCGG